AUUGAACGCUGGCGGCAUGCCUUACACAUGCAAGUCGAACGGUAACAGGUUAAGCUGACGAGUGGCGAACGGGUGAGUAAUACAUCGGAACGUGCCCAGUAGUGGGGGAUAGCCCGGCGAAAGCCGGAUUAAUACCGCAUACGACCCAAGGGUGAAAGGGGGGGAUCGCAAGACCUCUCGCUAUUGGAGCGGCCGAUGUCAGAUUAGCUAGUUGGUGGGGUAAAAGCUCACCAAGGCGACGAUCUGUAGCUGGUCUGAGAGGACGACCAGCCACACUGGGACUGAGACACGGCCCAGACUCCUACGGGAGGCAGCAGUGGGGAAUUUUGGACAAUGGGCGCAAGCCUGAUCCAGCCAUGCCGCGUGCGGGAAGAAGGCCUUCGGGUUGUAAACCGCUUUUGUCAGGGAAGAAAUCCUUUGGGUUAAUACCUCGGGGGGAUGACGGUACCUGAAGAAUAAGCACCGGCUAACUACGUG
rnacentral:rRNA from 1 species